AGAGUUUGAUCCUGGCUCAGGAGGAACGCUAGCUACAGGCUUAACACAUGCAAGUCGAGGGGCAGCGAUGAAGAAAGCUUGCUUUCUUCAGGCGGCGACCGGCGCACGGGUGAGUAACGCGUAUCGAACCUGCCUCAUACUCGGGAAUAGCCUUGCGAAAGUAAGAUUAAUGCCCGAUGUUAUUAGGAUAUCACAUGAUGUUUUAAUUAAAGAUUUAUCGGUAUGAGAUGGCGAUGCGUCCCAUUAGUUUGUUGGCGGGGUAACGGCCCACCAAGGCAUCGAUGGGUAGGGGUUCUGAGAGGAAGGUCCCCCACAUUGGAACUGAGACACGGUCCAAACUCCUACGGGAGGCAGCAGUGAGGAAUAUUGGUCAAUGGACGCAAGUCUGAACCAGCCAAGUAGCGUGCAGGAAGACGGCCCUCUGGGUUGUAAACUGCUUUUAGUUGGGAAUAAAGUGCACCACGUGUGGUGUUUUGUAUGUACCAUCAGAAAAAGGACCGGCUAAUUCCGUGCCAGCAGCCGCGGU
rnacentral:rRNA from 1 species